rnacentral:rRNA from 1 species
AUUGAACGCUGGCGGCAUGCCUUACACAUGCAAGUCGAACGUGAAAGGGGGGCAACCCCCGAGUAGAGUGGCGGACGGGUGAGCAACACAUCGGAACGUACCCAGUAGGUGGGGGACAACCUCGAGAAAUCGAGGCUAAUACCGCAUACGACCCACGGGUGAAAGCGGGGGACCGCAAGGCCUCGCGCUAUUGGAGCGGCCGAUGUCCGAUUAGCUUGUUGGUGGGGUAACGGCCCACCAAGGCGACGAUCGGUAGCUGGUCUGAGAGGAUGAUCAGCCACACUGGGACUGAGACACGGCCCAGACUCCUACGGGAGGCAGCAGUGGGGAAUUUUGGACAAUGGGGGCAACCCUGAUCCAGCCAUGCCGCGUGCGGGAAGAAGG